rnacentral:lncRNA from 1 species
AUCCGCCCAGGCAUGUGCACACACACAUGCAUAUGUGCACGCACCGUGCAGGCCCGCUGUCUGGCCCACAAGCGCAGCCCUCCUCCCCAGGACACCUGGCAUGUUACAUGCCUCCACCAUCUGGCAUCUCCGGUCCACCCCUCCCCGGAGGAAACAAUGGGGCCACUGUGACCCACACAGAAUUCUGGUAGCCUCUGAGGUCACCACAGAGAUAACCUCACCAACCCCUGCACCAAGAGCACAAGUCUGUGGAGGCCAGCCGUGGGUGACCGUCCUUGAUCCUCUUUCUGGCCACACAGGGAGAGAAGCAGAAAGGCACUUCGCCACUGUCUCCAUCAGUGCUGUUGAACUCAAAUACUGCCAUGGGUGGAGGCCAGCAGGGCAGCGUGUCCCUAGCAAGACAGCGACUGGGCAACGCACCUGUGCCAAACCCUGCCAGAAGCCCAGCACGUCCAAGGUGAUCCUGAGGGCUGUGGCGGACAAGGGGACCUGCAAGUAUGUGUCCCUGGCCACCCUGAAGAAGGCUGUUUCCACCACGGGCUACGACAUGGCCCGAAAUGCCUAUCACUUCAAGCGUGUGCUCAAGGGGCUGGUGGACAAGGGCUCAGCAGGUGACCGGCAGGGGGGCCUCAGGCUCCUUCACCCUGGGCAAGAAGCAGGCCUCCAAGUCCAAGCUCAAGGUCAAGAGGCAACGACAGCAGAGGUGGCGCUCUGGGCAGCGCCCCUUUGGACAGCACAGGUCACUACUGGGCUCCAAACAGGGGCACAAGCGGCUUAUCAAGGGGGUUCGAAGGGUGGCCAAGUGCCACUGCAAUUAAUGAGGCAGGCCAGGCAAGCAGUCAGGGGUGCCAAGACCGCCAUUGGCUCAGUGCAGUGGGAAUAAAAGGAACAUAACUUAUUUCA